rnacentral:rRNA from 1 species
UAAUACGAAGGGUGCAAGCGUUAUUCGGAUUUAUUGGGCGUAAAGGGUUCGUAGGCGGGAUUGUAAGUCAAGUGUGAAAUCCCCGAGCUUAACUCGGGACGUGCAUUUGAAACUGUGAUUCUUGAGUCAUUGAGAGGGUGGUGGAAUUGUUGGUGUAGGAGUGACAUCCGUAGAGAUCAACAGGAACAUCAGAGGCGAAAGCGGCCACCUGGCAAUGUACUGACGCUGAGGAACGAAAGCGUGGGGAGCAAACAGG